AGAGGUAGUCCGGGCCAGUGGGCGCUGUAAGACGUAUGAUGCAAUCGUUAGCCGGAAUCAUUUGUUUUAAAGGGUCCUAAGGCUGCCUGAUAAGUCAGCUGUGAAAGUUGUUGGGUUAACCAAAAAAUUGCCAUUGAUACUGUAUGGCUUGAAUAUUUGUGAAGUAACUAGAAUAUGUAGUGUAGCGGUGAAAUGCUUAGAUAUUACAUGGAAUACCAAUUGCGAAGGCAGGUUACUAACAAAUGAUUGACGCUGAUGGACGAAAGCGUGGGUAGCGAACAGGAUUAGAUACCCCAGUAG
rnacentral:rRNA from 1 species